rnacentral:lncRNA from 1 species
UGCGGUUGUAUAUUGGUAUCACCUUGACCCUGUCGUUGUAAUCAGCUAGCGAAGUCCAAAGACAUUUGGUUUCCAGACAAUAUCUUUACUUUAAUUGAAUAGAAAUCUAUGAUUUAAGAUUUUAAAAACUAAAAAGAAAAUUUCUUCAAAUAGUUUUUUUUUUUUUUGCCAAUAAAAAAUGGAGGGAGUUCAAUUUGCAACAGCAUCAUAGGUGGAUCAAGGGAGGGGUGGUCCAGGAGUUGGACCUCCUUUUUUU